CCCGGUGACCAUGGCGGGGAGGUAACACCCGUUCCCAUUCCGAACACGGACGUGAAGGGCCCCAGCGGCGAUGGUACUGCGGCAGUUGGUCGCGGGAGAGUAGCUCGUUGCCGGGA
rnacentral:rRNA from 1 species